GCGUGCUUAACACAUGCAAGUCGAGCGGAAAGGCCCUUUCGGGGGUACUCGAGCGGCGAACGGGUGAGUAACACGUGAGUAAUCUGCCCUGCGCUCUGGGAUAGCCACCGGAAACGGUGAUUAAUACCGGAUAGGACCACUUCACGCAUGUGAUGGUGGUGGAAAGUUUUUUCGGCGCAGGAUGUGCUCGCGGCCUAUCAGCUUGUUGGUGAGGUAACGGCUCACCAAGGCUUUGACGGGUAACCGGCCUGAGAGGGUGACCGGUCACACUGGGACUGAGACACGGCCCAGACUCCUACGGGAGGCAGCAGUGGGGAAUAUUGGACAAUGGGCGGAAGCCUGAUCCAGCAACGCCGCGUGAGGGAUGACGGCCUUCGGGUUGUAAACCUCUUUCAGUACCGACGAAGCGAAAGUGACGGUAGGUACAGAAGAAGGACCGGCCAACUACGUGCCAGCAGCCGCGGUAAUACGUAGGGUCCGAGCGUUGUCCGGAAUUAUUGGGCGUAAAGGGCUCGUAGGCGGUUUGUCGCGUCGGGAGUGAAAACACCGGGCUUAACUCGGUGCUUGCUUUCGAUACGGGCAGACUAGAGGUAUGCAGGGGAGAAUGGAAUUCCUGGUGUAGCGGUGAAAUGCGCAGAUAUCAGGAGGAACACCGGUGGCGAAGG
rnacentral:rRNA from 1 species